rnacentral:ncRNA from 1 species
CACCUAAGCUGCACAGGAAAGGCCCGAAGCCAAUCCCAGGGAACAGUAAAGCUUCGUAGGGUCUUUCUGUCCAGGUGGCAGUAACUCUAACUGUCCUAAGGUAGCAAAAUUCCUUGUCGCAUAAGUAGCGACCUGCACGAAUGGUG